rnacentral:lncRNA from 1 species
ACAAGAAGGGUGGUAUUGUCAGGGGAUUACAAGAGAAAGAUGCUAAUACAGUACUCUGUUUUAUCUUUAUCAGAUACAGCCUCAAGUAAAUUGCUCCUUCCCCGAAUGACCCACAUUCCAAGACAUGGAGAGGCCUUUCCACGUGGAGCCAUCCCACACUCCAGAGGUCUAUAUAAAAUGUUCUCUCCCUUGGGCAAUCAUAUAGGGACUUCAGGGACUUGAGCUACUUUAACAGAAUUCAAAAUGCAAGACAGAGUGAAGAUUUACAAAUCUUGAUAUGCCAAACCAAGUUUAUCACAAGUAAGUGGGCUUUGUGUGGAUGCUGAGACUGCCUUCUAUCUCUUAACUAGUUCAAGGAUUGCUUUCCCCAGUUGAAAUCACUCUGCUGCCAAGAAUAGAUUUGUCCGGAGCUCAACUUUUGCAUAUUCAUCAUCUCAACAGGUUGUAGACAUUAAAAAUAUAUAUUCUUCAAAGUGGCUUCUCAUGAAAACAGAUAUAGACAUGCAAUACUGGUCAACCAAAGACUCAUUGAAGAUAUCAAUAUGUAAUACAACCACCAUUGUUAAUUCCCUACCACUUUGUUUGUAACUCUGUAUUGUCUGUAUUGUGCUUGUGAUAUGUUGUAAAAUGUUGUAUGUCUGUUAAUGUUUCCCUCCUUUUAUCCUUAAAAUAAAA